rnacentral:rRNA from 1 species
GAUGAACGCUAGCGGGAGGCUUAAUACAUGCAAGUCGAGGGGUAACAGCAGAGCUUGCUCUGGCUGACGACCGGCGCACGGGUGAGUAACGCGUACACGACCUACCUUAUACAGAGGGAUAGCCCUGGGAAACUGGGAGUAAUACCUCAUAGUAAUGUGAGUAAUAAAGGUUCACAUUUAAAGUUCCGGCGGUAUAAGAUGGGUGUGCGUUAGAUUAGCUAGUUGGUAAGGUAACGGCUUACCAAGGCGACGAUCUAUAGGGGGCGUGAGAGCGUGGACCCCCACACGGGUACUGAGACACGGACCCGACUCCUACGGGAGGCAGCAGUAAGGAAUAUUGGACAAUGGGGGCAACCCUGAUCCAGCCAUCCUGCGUGCAGGAAGACGGCCCUAUGGGUUGUAAACUGCUUUUAAAUAGGAAGAAAAUGUUUCAUUUAUGAGACACUGACGGUACUAUAAGAAUAAGCACCGGCUAACUCCG